UACGUAGGUGGCAAGCGUUGUCCGGAUUUACUGGGCGUAAAGAGCGCGCAGGCGGUCGAUUUAGUCGUGUGUGAAAGCCCCCGGCUCAACUGGGGAGGGUCACGCGAUACUGAUCGACUCGAAGGCAGGAGAGGGUAGUGGAAUUCCCGGUGUAGUGGUGAAAUGCGUAGAUAUCAGGAGGAACACCGGUGGUGUAGACGGCUCUCUGGACAGUCACUGACGCUGAGACACGAAAGCGUGGGGAGCAAACAGG
rnacentral:rRNA from 1 species